GAUGAACGCUGGCGGCGUGCCUAAUACAUGCAAGUCGAGCGAACAGACGAUGAGCUUGCUCCUCUGACGUUAGCGGCGGACGGGUGAGUAACACGUGGAUAACCUACCUAUAAGACUGGGAUAACUUCGGGAAACCGGAGCUAAUACCGGAUAAUAUAUUGAACCGCAUGGUUCAAUAGUGAAAGACGGCUUUGCUGUCACUUAUAGAUGGAUCCGCGCCGCAUUAGCUAGUUGGUAAGGUAACGGCUUACCAAGGCAACGAUGCGUAGCCGACCUGAGAGGGGGAUCGGCCACACUGGAGCUGAGACACGGUCCAGACUCCUACGGGAGGCAGCAGUAGGGAAUCGUCCGCAAUGGGCGAAAGCCUGACGGAGCAACGCCGCGUGAGUGAUGAAGGUCUUCGGAUCGUAAAACUCUGUUAUUAGGGAAGAACAAAUGUGUAAGUAACUAUGCACGUCUUGACGGUACCUAAUCAGAAAGCCACGGCUAACUACGUG
rnacentral:rRNA from 1 species